rnacentral:rRNA from 1 species
AUACGGAGGGUGCAAGCGUUAAUCGGAAUUACUGGGCGUAAAGCGCACGCAGGCGGUUUGUUAAGUCAGAUGUGAAAUCCCCGGGCUCCACCUGGGAACUGCAUCUGAUACUGGCAAGCUUGAGUCUCGUAGAGGGGGGAAGAAUUCCAGGUGUAGCGGUGAAAUGCGUAGAGAUCUGGAGGAAUACCGGUGGCGAAGGCGGCCCCCUGGACGAAGACUGACGCUCAGGUGCGAAAGCGUGGGGAGCAAACAGGAUUAGAUACCCUGGUAGUCCACGCCGUAAACGAUGUCGACUUGGAGGUUGUGCCCUUGAGGCGUGGCUUCCGGAGCUAACGCGUUAAGUCGACCGCCUGGGGAGUACGGCCGCAAGGUUAAAACUCAAAUGAAUUGACGGGG